AGCCGUCUGAUAAUCUUUCUAUAGGUUCCCCGAAGAGAAUGGUCUCAUCACAAAAACACUUUCUAUAUGUUCUGUUAUUUCGAGAUUCGAAGAAGCAAGCAAGUUUUUCAUAUAGUUGUUUUUGUGUAGUGAUCUCUGUUCAUGGAGAUCACGAGGCCACUGAUACCCGAAGUGGUUAGGUGGGAUAGAAGAGAGGGAAAGCGGGCUUCUAUCACAUAGU